GAACGCACAUUGCGCCCCUUGGUAUUCCGGGGGGCAUGCCUGUUCGAGCGUCAUUAUCACCCCUCAAGCUCAGCUUGGUGUUGGGGCCUGCCCGUCACAGGGCAGCCCCUAAAAGCAGUGGCGGUGCCAUCUGGCUCUACGCGUAGUAAUACUUCUCGCGACAGAGUCCCGGUGGUGUCCUGCCAGAACCCCAAAUUUUAUCACGAUUGACCUCGGAUCAGGUAGGGAUACCCGCUGAACUU
rnacentral:misc_RNA from 1 species